GCGACGUUCGCAUAGCCUGGCCAUCGCGCUGGAUUGCUAAUCCAGUGGGUUUUACCCUCGGGAGUUCAAAUCUCCCACGUCGCGCCA
rnacentral:tRNA from 1 species